rnacentral:lncRNA from 1 species
UGAGGGACAUACUAAUGAAAAGAUCUGACAUCAGUGUAAAUAAACAGCUCCUUUCUAAAUUCUCAAAACCAUCAGAAACAUGAAGGAAAAAAAUGAGAUAAAUAUGACACCAGAUCCAACAAGUUUACCUAGAGAAGUGUAACAUCUAGAAUCAGGUGGGCUCUUCUUGCUAACCCAAUUAUAAUAAAGAUCAGAUCAAAGGAGGGUAAUCUAAAAUUCCCCAGAAGAAAUUGUAUUUGUCAUAGCUUUUUAUUCUAAUUACUGUUUUUAUUAUAAAUGUUCAGAUAGAUUUUGUGAAAUGUAUAUUCCUACCAUAAGACUUAGCACUAGGUAUGCAUAUUUAUUACAGUUUUUAUUAUAGCUCUCACAAAAUUACCUCUGGUCAUUUAUUGGCUUAGAACAAUCCCAAAUUAUAAACACCUAAUGUAGAAAUAAAAGCCAAUGUAUACAAAAACAUUCUGCCUUUCUGGUUUAUCAGUCUGUAGUACAAUUUUAUUCAAGUACUAGUGAUUUAGGUUUAUCAUGAAACAGAAUUUAAGUUACACUCACUUGUAGUGUUUAUAAUAAAUGUAUUGUCAAGUAGAGAUAGUCAAUAGUCAGAUCUGGGUAUUGAACCCAUAUAAACAUACACAUAUUUUUUUUUGCUGGAAUUCUUAUUACGUAUUAAUGAUCUUGCACUACCCUGCUACCUCACACACAAAAUUAUGAUACCCAGAGAAAUACUGAUUUCAUUUACAAUUUAUACUCAGAAUAGUUCAAAAAUAUAGUUUCCUCUUUCUCAGGCCCUUGGGAGGAAACUAGAAAUUUAUUUUUCCCUAUCCAGAGGCUUUUCAAAAUGUGAGAUAAAUACUAUAUGUGAUCAAUAACUGACCAAGAAAAAUGCCCUAGGCUUCUAACCAAGCUCCUACAAUAGAUGCAGAAAAGAGGCCAAUGAGAUCGUUGCCUAAAAAAACUCUCUUCCCUACUUUAAGUGCAAGAGAAGCAAGCUCUAGACAGCUAUCCUAACUGAUAAAGCAGAGUCCACUGCGUCUCUUCUGAAAGACUGUGACUAAGAAUCCUACCUCUUAGAUACAGCUGAUACUGUACUGUGUUCUUAACUGCUUACUUAACACUGUAUCUGUUACAUCAUCUUGUAUGUAUGGAAUUUGUGCCACUGACUUUUUGAAUUCUUACUCAGUUACUCACUGCCAUUUAAAAUGGUCAUAGUAGCUUUGCUGGAAAAUCGAAUAACUUAGGAAUGUUAAAAGAUUUUAUUUUUAUAGACAAAAGUAAAAAGAUACUAAGAACCAUGUUGCCUGUAUUAAUCAUAAAGAAGUAAAAUUGUAAGCAAAAACCAAAAUGUUUAUUUUUAAAUGUGUAUUUUCUGCUUCAUAGAAGUUUUUUGACCUUACUGUCUUAAUUAUACUAAAAUCAAGUAAGCCAUCACUUGCUCUGAUUUUUGUCUUGUUAAUUGUAUAAAUUACUACAGUAGCUUAACAAGUUUAGAGAUCAUUGUUCUUAGUUGCAGUUGGACUGUGUGCUCUUUUAUAUGAAUGUCAAUAAACAGAGACUAAGUAAGUGUAAGAAGACAUUGUUGAAACAUAAAUCAAAAUAUACUUAGGAAUAUUUACAAUUAAACAUGAUGUUUUAAACUUAGUAAAAAACAAAAGCAAAAACAAACAAGUACCUGUAAUUUUGUACCUACAGUGAAAAUUCUUUAUCUGAAAUUUUAAAAUACAUUGAUAUAGCAUGUAAUUUUUUUUCUUCUGGAGUAUAAUACAAUGUGGCUCAUAUGGCACU